rnacentral:rRNA from 1 species
CACCGGCAGCUCUAGUGGUAGCAGUUUUUAUUGGGCCUAAAGCGUCCGUAGCCGGUUUAUUAAGUCUCUGGUGAAAUCCUGUAGCUUAACUGUGGGAAUUGCUGGAGAUACUAGUAGACUUGAGAUCGGGAGAGGUUAGAGGUACUCCCAGGGUAGAGGUGAAAUUCUGUAAUCCUGGGAGGACCGCCUGUGGCGAAGGCGUCUAGCUGGAACGAUUCUGACGGUGAGGGACGAAAGCUAGGGGCGCGAACCGG